GACAGCUGCUUUUCAUGGCUCCCACUGUACAGUGUUCUACUGUUCUGUGGUGUGGCUAUUUCUGUUGGAAGUUAGUUGCCUCUAUUCAUUGAAGCUACUGAAAGUUUUCUUCACUUGACUACAGUAUGGAUAUGGAGCAUCUGUAACUGUCCUUCCAAGAAGUCUUUCUGGCAAGCAUCAGAUGACUUAACCAUUUGCUCCCUUUACAUUGUAGUUUCUUUUCAUCUUCAUUUUUCCACUGAUAUGUAAAGCUGGAUAGCAUCUAAGACUGCAGUAGACUAUGAGAGGAAGAAGAAGAGGAAGGGCUGCUCAGCUGUUGUGAUACCCAGAUGGGGCUGCUUACACCUGCUUCUGCUGAACCAGGCUGCUCAACCAAGCCAGGUGUAAACCAGUGUUCUGUAAAUGAUCAUCUAAAAUUGGUGUUCCAUCAUCGUGGGGGAAGAGCACAUUUGGAGGUGUUCUUCAGUCCGACAAAUUUCUCCAUUCAUUAUCUGGAUGAAUAUUACUGAAUCUUCACAAUUGGGCUAGACCAAGAUUGUGGAUACCUCUUGGUGGAUACCUUCAUUGAGGGAACUGACACAUGAGCAUCCUCAAGAAACAGCAAGGAAUAUUGUCAACAAAGUGUAAAGUAUAGUUGAAGAGAUGCUGAAGGUGGAGGUAUAAGGAAGAGAAUGGAGAUCAAGGGCCAGGAUGAUAUGACAUGACCAGAUGCUUCAAGUUCCUGCUGCUCUGCCUUUCCUACUGUGUUGGACUUUACUGUAAACUUUGAGAUAAAUAAGCCUUUUAUCCAUUAAAUUGCUUUUGUCAGAGUACACUAUCACAGCACCAGGGAAAGAAACUAAGUCAGUAAUGGCUUCGUUAUUGUGUCUCUGGAAAGGGAGUAAUUUGUGAUCUGUAGUUGAUUUCUCAUGGGCUUCUAGUUUAUUAUUAUUGAACAUUUUUCAAUUGAUUUGAAAAGUUUUAUUAAGAGCCAGCUGUGUUAUAGUCAGAGUAGUGAAGAAAUGCUGUAGUUUAACAAUGUAGUUUAAAAUGUAGCUUUUCCCCUUCUGAUAUAGCAGUUGGUCACCUUCCCACCUGAAAUCUAGGCCAUGCUCACUCUGAAGGAAUUGCCUGCACAUGUUGGUAGAGGACACAUUUUGUUCUUCUGCCAUGACUCAUACAGACUGGAAGAUGACAGGGAAGGAAGGAACAAUCAAGUGUUUAAUUCUGAAGAACUCAUCACUGGAUGUCUCCAGAGAGGACUCAGAAAACCAAUGGAAGUGAGACAAACUGAAGUGUGGUUGGAAACUAGGCUGGGUAGCAGAGACAGUGUCCAAGCAUCUGGAUAAAUGGAUACAGGAGAUGAGAGACACUAUAAUAUAACAAUUCCACUAGAUGAUAAUAGACUAGUUGAAAGUGAAAGGAACUAUGUAUAAACUAACUUCGUUGUGAUGAAAACUGUUGUGGUGCUUUUAGAGACAGAGAGAAAGGUAUCUGGGCUGAGGUUCCCAGGGUGGUCUAUGGCCAGGGAUGUGCUAAUAAGCAUGGCUGAUGGCUUGUCACCCAUGUACAUACAGAGAACACUAAUUGAUUCAGUGGGUUUAACAUUAAAAGGGAGAGAACAUGAGAUUGGUAAGGGAAUGGAGGAUACUUGGGAGGAACUGAAGGGUAAUGGGCAGUAUAUAUGAUCAAAUACAUUAUAGAUAUGUUUGAAAUUCCCAAUGAAUAAUAAUAAACAAUUUCUAUAGAUAAUCUAGAGGCAAUUAUAGCAAGAGCCAAUGAUAUGCAGUCUUAAUUCAAAGACAAUACACUAUAUUUCUAAGUAGC
ensembl:lncRNA